UGCCGCCGAAGUCGCUGGUGAAAAAAUGCAUUCCGACGUAACGAUCGAGUAGCAGUAAUCCCAGUACGGCGGUCAGCACAGGGAACGCCGCGACGAUCAAGACGUUCGUGCAAAGCGAUGUCCACGUAAAAAUGGGCAUCUUCAUCAUCGA
rnacentral:sRNA from 1 species